GACGAACGCUGGCGGCGUGCCUAACACAUGCAAGUCGAACGGACAGGCCACUUUGGGGGUACUCGAGUGGCGAACGGGGGCGUAACACGUGAGUAAGCUGAACCUGACUUCGGGAUAACUUUAGGUAACUGGGGCUAAUACUGGUUAGGAAUCAUUUCUGCAUGGGGGGGGUUGGAAAGCUACGGCCGUUUUUGGUGGACCUGCGACUUAUCAGCUUGCUGGGGGGGUAAUGGCUUACCAAGGCUUUGAAGGGUAGCCGGCCUGAGGAGGCGACCGGCCACAUAGAGACUGAGGUACGGCCCAGACUCCGACGGGAGGGAGCAGGGGGGAAGAUUGCACGAGGGGCGGAAGCCUGAUGCUGCAACUCCGCGGGCCGGAAAACGGCCUUCGUGUUGAAAACCGCUUUCAGCAGUGGCGAAGCUUGUCGUGACGGUACCUGCAGAAGAAGCACCGGCUAACUACGUG
rnacentral:rRNA from 1 species